CGAUAGCUCAGUCGGUAGAGCGCGCGGCUGUUAACCGCGUUGUCGUAGGUUCGAGUCCUACUCGGGGA
rnacentral:tRNA from 1 species